rnacentral:lncRNA from 1 species
CCUCGGGAAGGUGACUGGGGAGAUGAAACAAAAGGCUGAAUUCUGUAUCUGGGUCGGCCUAGAGCAGACAAACGGAGCAGCAGGGGUGGCACCAAGAGGUGUGGAUUCAGCAGGAUCAGGACUUUGGAAGGAGCCGUGGACUCGAGUCUGGGAAAGCUCAGGAGUUAACGGAAGUCUGGCGGGCGGGGGUCAGUAGGCCCUUCGAGGAGCUUGGAAAGAGUUCAAACAGGCUUUAACUCCAACUUCCAAAGUCACUGGAGUGUCCCCUCACCCUCUGCCUCCGAGCUCCUCACCAGCAGGCAGGAUAAAUGAUUCCGAGCCCUUACUGCAUUCCAAACACUCUGCCCCCUCGCCUGAUCUCUGAGAGCCCAGACUUACAGACCAAAGCAAAACCAAUAAACAGACACACCCCAGCCUUUUCCGGGCCGUCAGUGAUGUGUGUUUCACCAGGAAGACGAGGUCUGGCGCCAUGGCUCCAACCCUAGUGCCGAACCUGAGCAGGCAGAGGGCUCCACGCAGGACCCCCAGGUCAAGCUGGUGACCCCCGUCUGCCCUUAGUGAUGUGGCCAGAUGUGGAAGAGGUGUUGGAGCCCCAUCCAGAGGAGCUUUGUGAGAGCCGCCAGCACCCGACUGGGGAGGCCAGGAAGCCACGGCCGGCACUCAGAGCGAGGGAGCUCAGGCCCAGCUCAGCAAGGAGGCUCGACUAGAAGCCAGGCCCUUACCCAGGCCACUCCGUGGGACCCUCUGGAAGUGUUUCUCAUAACAAGAAGAGGUGGCUGUGCAGGAAGGAAACUCGGAGACUCUGUGUGACCUGUUGUCUGCCGUCAUUAGACCGGUCUGAGCUUGUAUCCAGACUCCGUGAGGCCCUGGGAUCCCAGCCAGGUGCUCAGCUCUGGGCGAGUUUCAUCCUCAUGAAUAAUGGGGAUAAAAUACCCAAUUUUAGGCUCGCUGUGGAAGAAAUUGAGAGGCUCCCUGUACUAUUCCCAGUCAACCUGAGCCUCUUGUUUCCUGAGAAGACAAACACGACAUCCACCAUUAUCGCUGCUGGGCCAGAAGAAGGGAUUAAUGAACUCCAGUCCUCACAGAAGCCCCACGGAAAGAGGCCGUCACCCCCACUCUACCCUGGGGAACAGGGGUCACAAAACUGCUAAGGAGCCAGUCAGAGCUGGUAACGGGAUGGAGAGCCCAGGACUCAAACCAGUCACAGGUCCUGUGCUGUUCCUCGGUCAUCUUCCUGAUAGAAAAGAGGAAAGUGCCUCCGAAGGGAGCCCCACCGUGCAGAGUAUGAGGGAGUGGGAUAAGGAUUAAAAGAAGACAGCACCAUAGAGCAAGAUGAGAGAGGUUUCCAAAGGCUGCGUCUAGGACGAGCCAGGGGACCUUGAUAGCUGAGACGUUAACUCUGCAGAGAGAGGGAGAGAAGAUGAACCAGAGGACGCCUAGAACCGGUGAGCACCACGCAGGGUCCUUCAGAGACGGCGGAGUCCCGUGCUGAGAGCUCCCUCCAAGGCUGGGAUAGCUUGGGCACUUCUCUUUGCUCACGGAGAAAUCCCAAAGGCAUUUGGUUUUCUUUGAGGCCUCUACUCCCCAUUUCUUGGUGGCCAUUAUUAGUUCAAUCAAAAGGUGGCAGCCUUCGGGGCGAAUGAGCCCCCUCUUCUGAGCCAGGGAGCCCGCUUCGAAGGUGUAGCAGGCUCCGGUUUCAAGUCCCUGAUCAGGGCCAGCUGUAGCCGACCCACCCCGUCGACUCGUUGGGGACCUAGACCUGCUACUUCCUUCUCCCUGACCUGGGGGUGAAUGAGGAGGAUGAAUGGCAAACAGACACAGAGUCAGUUUAAUUUUCAGGCAGCCAGAGGAGGCCCUAGUGUCUGACUCAUCUUGCCUCUAUUUACCCGAAUGGGUGCAAGCAAUCAGAGAAACACAGGAUCCACCUGCUUUCCGGGAUUCAUUACUACAAACUCUGGUAAACAACUUAACCUCCGGCGUCCUAACUUUUCCCUGGAUCCCGCACUAUGCGGUCACCCCUGAGAGCAGCCUUCCUCCUUUGUGCUCACAGAGGGGCCAGCUAGGCCUCAGUUCUCCUCUGCUCUCUGGCACUCAGGUGCAAGAGGGUAACCUUGCUUCUAUCCCAAAGCCAAGCCUGAGCCACCAUGGGUGGAGGCAGGAGACAUCCAAGGUCACAUAGAUGUAAAGCUUGACUUGGGGCCCAGCUGCUGUGGCCAGAGGCUGUCCUUCCACCAAUGAUGUCGCUAACCUGAGGAGCUGGAGCCAGCAGCGCUUGAUGCCCUGCCAUCCCGCUACUGCCAGCAACAGGACUCUGCUCCUCUGACCUUUGGCCCAGGCGCCUCCCGUUGCAUCUCCUCCCAACACUUCCCAUGGUGCCCGCUGGAGUCCCCUGUCCACUGUCGAAUCCCC